rnacentral:rRNA from 1 species
AUUGAACGCUGGCGGAAUGCUUUACACAUGCAAGUCGAGCGGCAGCGCGGCCUUCGGGCUGGCGGCGAGCGGCGAACGGGUGAGUAAUGCAUCGGAACAUGCCCAGUCGUGGGGGAUAACACUUCGAAAGAAGUGCUAAUACCGCAUACGUCCUGAGGGGGAAAGCGGGGGAUCGCAAGACCUCGCGCGAUUGGAGUGGCCGAUGUCAGAUUGGCUAGUUGGUGGGGUAAAGGCCUACCAAGGCGACGAUCUGUAGCUGGUCUGAGAGGAUGAUCAGCCACACUGGGACUGAGACACGGCCCAGACUCCUACGGGAGGCAGCAGUGGGGAAUUUUGGACAAUGGGGGCAACCCUGAUCCAGCCAUACCGCGUGAGUGAAGAAGGCCUUCGGGUUGUAAAGCUCUCUCGGCAGGAACGAAACGGUGGGCUCUAACAUAGUCCGCUAAUGACGGUACCUGAAGAAGAAGCACCGGCUAACUACGUG